rnacentral:misc_RNA from 1 species
GAGAAGAACGCAGCGAAAUGCGAUACUUGGUGUGAAUUGCAGAAUCCCGUGAACCAUCGAGUCUUUGAACGCAAGUUGCGCCCGAAGCCACUAGGCCGAGGGCACGCCUGCCUGGGCGUCACACGUCGUUGCCCCCCCAUCUACUCCUUCGGGAUUGCGGGGGGGCGGAUGAUGGCCUCCCGUGCGCCUAGCCGCGCGGUUGGCAUAAAUACCAAGUCCUCGGCGACGCACGCCACGACAAUCGGUGGUUGCGAAACCUCGGUUGCCCGUCGUGUGCGUUCGUCGCGCAUCGAGGGCUCGAAAAAAUGCUCGGCUUCGGCUCGGCUUUCAACGCGACCCCAGGUCAGGCGGGGUUACCCGCUGAAUUUAAGCAUAUCAAUAAGCGGAGGA